AUGAGGAAGAUGCCUCUAACCUUACUGUUGGAACUUUCAAGAGAGCCAGUAAUGAGAUUCUGGCAGCAGCAUGCAUGGUUGAGACGCUGUCUAUUUAUUCCGGUUAAUCCAAAAGCCGCAUACUCUUUGAUCCUGAAGACUGCAGAAACAAGAAUAACAGGUGAUUUCUUGUUUGAUGACAUGGCGGAGCUUUCUGAAUUCAAAUGGCAUAGUACAUUCAGAUGA